UGGGGCGUAGCCAAGCGGCAAGGCAAUGGAUUCUGGCUCCAUGAUCGUAGGUUCGAAUCCUACCGCCCCAGCCA
rnacentral:tRNA from 1 species